GACGAACGCUGGCGGCGUGCUUAACACAUGCAAGUCGAACGAUGAAACCUAGCUUGCUAGGUCGAUUGGUGGCGAACGGGUGAGUAACACGUGACUAACCUGCCCCUUUCUCUGGGAUAACGCUCCGAAAGGAGUGCUAAUACCGGAUACUCACACCGAGGCACAUGCCUUGGUGUGGAAAGUUUUUCGGAAAGGGAUGGAGUCGCGGCCUAUCAGCUUGUUGGUGAGGUAACGGCUCACCAAGGCGACGACGGGUAGCCGGCCUGAGAGGGCGACAGGCCACACUGGGACUGAGACACGGCCCAGACUCCUACGGGAGGCAGCAGUGGGGAAUAUUGCACAAUGGGCGCAAGCCUGAUGCAGCGACGCCGCGUGAGGGAUGAAGGUCUUCGGAUUGUAAACCUCUUUCAGUAGGGACGAAGCGAAAGUGACGGUACCUAAAGAAGAAGCACCGGCUAACUACGUGCCAGCCGCCGCCGUAA
rnacentral:rRNA from 1 species